UUUCCGUAGGUGAACCUGCGGAAGGAUCAUUAUUGUAUAACCGAGGUGCGAGGGCUGUCGGUGACCCGAAAGGUCGUGCACGCUCGAGUGCCCUCACACACAUCCAUCUCACCCCUAUGUGCACCACCGCGUGGGUCCCCCUUUGGCUUGUUCGGAGGGGGGCUUACGUUUUCACACAAACUUUGUAUGCAGUGUAGAAUGUAUUUUUUGUUUUUGCGAUCACGCAAUCAAUACAACUUUCAACAACGGAUCUCUUGGCUCUCGCAUCGAUGAAGAACGCAGU
rnacentral:misc_RNA from 1 species